UCGACAUGAGUUGGCCAACAAAUCAAGUGUGCGGGAUAUGAAAGUACAAAUAAUAAAAUACAAGAAACGAAGAAAUCAUAAGUAAGAACUGAAAAGUGUGCACAAUUGUAAAAUAAAAACUAAUUUAAGUUAGUAAGGAUAGGCUACUACUUUUGUUACAAGUGACGGUGACUAAACCUCAACUGGAGGAAAGUCCUGCCGCAGGCCGUUCUCUUUGUGCUUUUCGCACAGGCUUCGAAGCCUUGUAAUUUCAAUAAUGGAAAUUAUAAGCACCUAUCAAAGCGUCUGUGUGCGGGUGAAUUGGGUGGGGAACUUGUGUACAUGGGCUGUGAAUAAUGAAAUGAAUGAAAUGUGAUGUAUUCCGGCCAUAUGGCCACCGAAAAAGUGCGUCAUCGCGGGCGAAGGUCAACGAUGGCCGUGAUAGCCGGCAGUUAACCGGAUACUUUAUCAUUAAUGGCGGAAUAUGUUUGUGAAUAUCUACAUGGCAGAUGAAUGAGUUGUUAUAAUGUAACCAAAAUACUGUGUUAAAUUAAGUUGAAGUAUAGAAAAGGGUAGCAAUAAUGUAAGGAUA